rnacentral:rRNA from 1 species
AGCGAACGCUGGCGGCAGGCUUAACACAUGCAAGUCGAGCGGGCCCUUCGGGGUCAGCGGCGGACGGGUGAGUAACGCGUGGGAACGUGCCUUCUGGUCUGGAAUAACCCUGGGAAACUAGGGCUAAUACCGGAUACGCCCUUUUGGGGAAAGGUUUACUGCCGUAAGAUCGGCCCGCGUCUGAUUAGCUCGUUGGUAGGGUUACGGCCUACCAAGGCGACGAUCAGUAGCUGGUCUGAGAGGAUGAUCAGCCACACUGGGACUGAGACACGGCCCAGACUCCUACGGGAGGCAGCAGUGGGGAAUAUUGGACAAUGGGCGCAAGCCUGAUCCAGCCAUGCCGCGUGAGUGAUGAAGGCCUUAGGGUUGUAAAGCUCUUUUAUCCGGGACGAUAAUGACGGUACCGGAGGAAUAAGCCCCGGCUAACUUCGUG